ACACUACUGAAGAGUCCCACACUUGGACGAAACGGACGUCCAGUGC
rnacentral:hammerhead_ribozyme from 1 species